rnacentral:rRNA from 1 species
CGCGGCAAGACGGAAAGACCCCGUGAACCUUUACUAUAGCUUGACACUGAACAUUGAGCCUUGAUGUGUAGGAUAGGUGGGAGGCUUUGAAGUGUGGACGCCAGUCUGCAUGGAGCCGACCUUGAAAUACCACCCUUUAAUGUUUGAUGUUCUAACGUUGACCCGUGAUCCGGGUUGCGGACAGUGUCUGGUGGGUAGUUUGACUGGGGCGGUCUCCUCCUAAAGAGUAACGGAGGAGCACGAAGGUUGGCUAAUCCUGGUCGGACAUCAGGAGGUUAGUGCAAUGGCAUAAGCCAGCUUGACUGCGAGCGUGACGGCGCGAGCAGGUGCGAAAGCAGGUCAUAGUGAUCCGGUGGUUCUGAAUGGAAGGGCCAUCGCUCAACGGAUAAAAGGUACUCCGGGGAUAACAGGCUGAUACCGCCCAAGAGUUCAUAUCGACGGCGGUGUUUGGCACCUCGAUGUCGGCUCAUCACAUCCUGGGGCUGAAGUAGGUCCCAAGGGUAUGGCUGUUCGCCAUUUAAAGUGGUACGCGAGCUGGGUUUAGAACGUCGUGAGACAGUUCGGUCCCUAUCUGCCGUGGGCGCUGGAGAAUUGAGGGGGGCUGCUCCUAGUACGAGAGGACCGGAGUGGACGCAUCACUGGUGUUCGGGUUGUCAUGCCAAUGGCACUGCCCGGUAGCUAAAUGCGGAAGAGAUAAGUGCUGAAAGCAUCUAAGCACGAAACUUGCCCCGAGAUGAGUUCUCCCUGACUCCUUGAGAGUCCUGAAGGAACGUUGAAGACGACGACGUUGAUAGGCCGGGUGUGUAAGCGCAGCGAUGCGUUGAGCUAACCGGUACUAAUGAACCGUGAGGCUUAACCUU